CCUGGCCUGUCAGAUUGAAAAUACCUUCUAAAUUUACCUCUUUCCUUUCUUCUCCCUGUAUCUCGGUUCUGCUUCUCUUUCUUUUGUUACCAAUCUUCGGCGUUUCCCUCGAGAUUCCCAUAUUUCUGUUUGUUGUGUUUGUUUCAAUCUCUCCAUAGCUGGGUCCUUCCGAAAAAAAGAUGUUGGUUCUUGAUUAGAUGUAUG